UACAGAGGGUGCAAGCGUUAAUCGGAAUUACUGGGCGUAAAGCGUGCGCAGACGGUUGCGCAAGUCAGAUGUGAAAUCCCCGGGCUUAACCUGGGAACUGCAUUGGUGACUGGCAGGCUUUGAGUGUGGCAGAGGGAGGUAGAAUUCCACGUGUAGCAGUGAAAUGCGUAGAGAUGUGGAGGAAUACCGAUGGCGAAGGCAGCCUCCUGGGCCAACACUGACGCUCAUGCACGAAAGCGUGGGGAGCAAACAGG
rnacentral:rRNA from 1 species